AUUGAACGCUGGCGGCAUGCCUUACACAUGCAAGUCGAACGGCAGCACGGGUGCUUGCACCUGGUGGCGAGUGGCGAACGGGUGAGUAAUACAUCGGAACGUACCUUAUCGUGGGGGAUAACGUAGCGAAAGUUACGCUAAUACCGCAUACGAUCUACGGAUGAAAGCGGGGGACCGUAAGGCCUCGCGCGAUUGGAGCGGCCGAUGUUAGAUUAGGUAGUUGGUGGGGUAAAGGCUCACCAAGCCGACGAUCUAUAGCUGGUCUGAGAGGAUGAUCAGCCACACUGGGACUGAGACACGGCCCAGACUCCUACGGGAGGCAGCAGUGGGGAAUUUUGGACAAUGGGCGCAAGCCUGAUCCAGCCAUUCCGCGUGCAGGACGAAGGCCUUCGGGUUGUAAACUGCUUUUGUACAGAACGAAAAGCCUUGGGUUAAUACCCUGAGGUCAUGACGGUACUGUAAGAAUAAGCACCGGCUAACUACGUG
rnacentral:rRNA from 1 species